UGAACAUAAGAAAUACAUGGUUCAGGAGAUGGUGUUAGCAUUAGAAAGAACAAAGAAUGAAUCUGCUUGAGAGACAACAGUUGUAUCAUAAACCUGAUACUAUAGAAGGCUGUGCAAAGAGAUCAAAGGACAGUGAGAACUUGAUGCUAUAGAGGAGAUACUGAAUCAAGCUAACCCAAAAUAUAUCCCUCCUUCUGGACCAUUCAGGUGUCAAAAAAUAACUCAAGUUCGUACCCAGCCUGGAGCCCAACCUAGAGUCCAAACUCACAACUUUGAAAUCAAGACCUGAACUGAGAUCAAAAGUUGGAUGCUCAACCAACUGAG